AUAUACAUACAUGAAGUACGCAACAUCGGUGCAUCGUCAUCAUCAUCAGUGGGAUACAUUAGUGAUUGAUAUAUCGUCAUCAUCAGUGGGAUACAUUAGUGAUUGAUUAGGAUAUUUUCUGAUUAAACAUCAGUGAUUGAUUAAGAAAAAGCAGCUUCGGACAUUCCUGCUAUAGAAAAUCUCAAGGACUUCACACCGCCGCGAAAAAAGAAAAAAAGCAUCGGUUGUGGUCUAUGCAUUGCCGGAAAAUACAAGUUAAGAAGAACUCGGGUAUGUUAAAUUUUAUACUAUCCCCUCAUCUUAUUUGCCUCUAAUUCGUACGUUUCAUUUGAAUGAAUAGGUGCUAAUCACGUGCACAAUUUUGCACCUUGUAAUCAUCCCGGUCGUCAGUGUAAUAAUUCAUGCCCAUGUAUAUAAGCACAAAACUUCUGCGAGAAGUUUUAUCAGUGCAGCAACGAAUGCCAGAACAGAUUUCCUGAGUGUAGGUGCAAGGCGCAAUGCAAUACAAAGCAGUGUCCUUGUUAUCUGGCUGUCAGGGAAUGUGAUCUCUGGGGAAUGCGACCAUUCCCCAGGGAUCCCUGGGGUUUCCCUGGGGAAACCAUAUGUUUGGCAAAGAUCUGGAUCUUUGCCAAACAUAUGAUGCAGAUAAUUUCCAAAUCAAUUCUAAAUCUUGAAAAAAUGUCAGCGUGCAACAUGGUCUUUAUAAUUUGAAAUAUACUUUAUACAAUUUGGAAGAUCAGCAGCAAAGAAUGAAUUCAUCUCAGAAUAUUGUGGCGAAAUUAUCAGUCAAGACGAAGCUGACAGGAGGGGAAAAGUAUAUGAUAAAUAUAUGUGUAUUAAUCUUAACAAUGGUAAGUAGAAAUAGAUAUAGUGGUUAAUUAAAUGUUGAAAAAUAAUAAAAAUUAAAAGUUUUUGGUAGGUUUCAGAUUUUGUUGUAUAUGUAUAUAUAUUAUAUGGACUUUUACACGUAUAAAUGGUGCAUCAAGCGAAUACAUACAGCUGAAAUAUUAGAAAGGAAAUAAGCACUGCCUGAUUUUAAUGACUAAUAAAGAGGAUCGUAUGGAUGAUAUGGACGAUA